AUUGAACGCUGGCGGCAUGCCUUACACAUGCAAGUCGAACGGUAACAGGUCUUCGGAUGCUGACGAGUGGCGAACGGGUGAGUAAUACAUCGGAACGUGCCUAGUAGUGGGGGAUAACUACUCGAAAGAGUGGCUAAUACCGCAUGAGAUCUACGGAUGAAAGCAGGGGAUCGCGAGACCUUGUGCUACUAGAGCGGCCGAUGGCAGUUUAGGUAGUUGGUGGGAUAAAAGCUUACCAAGCCGACGAUCUGUAGCUGGUCUGAGAGGACGAUCAGACACACUGGGACUGAGACACGGCCCAGACUCCUACGGGAGGCAGCAGUGGGGAAUUGUGGACAAUGGGCGAAAGCCUGAUCCAGCAAUGCCGCGUGCAGGAUGAAGACCUUCGGGUUGUAAACUGCUUUUGUACGGAACGAAAAGCCCCGGGUUAAUACCCUGGGGUCAUGACGGUACCGUAAGAAUAAGCACCGGCUAACUACGUGCCAGCCGCCGCCGUAA
rnacentral:rRNA from 1 species